rnacentral:rRNA from 1 species
GAUGAACGCUGGCGGCGUGCCUAAUACAUGCAAGUCGAGCGAACAGAUGAGGAGCUUGCUCCUCUGACGUUAGCGGCGGACGGGUGAGUAACACGUGGAUAACCUACCUAUAAGACUGGGAUAACUUCGGGAAACCGGAGCUAAUACCGGAUAAUAUAUUGAACCGCAUGGUUCAAUAGUGAAAGACGGUUUUGCUGUCACUUGUAGAUGGAUCCGCGCCGCAUUAGCUAGUUGGUAAGGUAACGGCUUACCAAGGCAACGAUGGGUAGCCGACCUGGGAGGGGGACCGGGAAAAUGGGGACUGAGAUAAGGCACAGACGGCUACUGGAGGCAGAAGUGGGGAAUAUUGCAAAAUGGGGGGAAGCGUGAUGAAGAAAUGCCGCGAGCGGGAUGACGGCCUUCGCGUUGUAAACCACGUUAGCCUGUGAUGAAGCGGGAGUGACGGUAAUGGGUAAAGAAGCAACGGCUAACUACGUG